GGCGCGGCCGGGCGGUUCCCGGGACGCGGUGCGCGUCGGGGUGAGCGCGCGAGUCCUCGGCGCGCCCGCCACGCUCGCCCGGCAGCGGCUCCCUUCCCCGCGCCGCCUGCGCUCGGGACCAGCCCGAGUGGCCCGCGCGCCGAGCUCCCUCCACCGCGUCGCCUCCGGACGCCGCCCGGACCGCGGGGCCACCCCGGGAAGGAGGAUCCCGCAGACGGCUGCAGCCCGAGAUCAUGGCUCUUCUAACAGGUGUGAAGUGAUAUCUCUUUGCAGAUUUAAUUUGAAUUUCCCUGAUGACUAGUGAUGGUGAGCAUCUUUUUAAGAAACUACUGAUAUUGAGUCUUUUGGCUUUCAAUUCAGAGGAGACCCAGGUGCAGCUCUCUUUAGUCCUCCAGAAUCAUGCAACACCAUCCGCCUCUACCAUGUCACCUAAGUUUGACCCCAGUGAGAUCAAAGUCCUGUACCUGAGGUUCCCCGUUGGGGAAGUUGGUGCGUGUCUGCCCUGGCCCAGAAGAUCAACCCCUGAGUCUGUUUCCAAAAAAGGUGGUCAUUUGCCUUCCUAAUAUCAAAGAAUCAAUCUAUGAUCAAGAAAGAUUGAUUGAUAAGAGUAUCCAUCCUUUCUCCUUCCUAACUGGGCAUCUAUUUUGUUCUGUGUUCAUACUUUCCUUUAUUUAACUCAUAUGCACCAUGAGAAGAUGACAUGAUCCCCCAACACUAUCAGGUGACAAGACUUAGGACAUCUUCAUUUUUUGCUACCAGUGAUGAGGUUAGAAUGGGCAUAUGUUAAAAUUCAGGUCAAUGGGAAGGCUUCAGGGAAGGUUUCCUGGGAGUGACAUGAGGGAGUGACAUAACCUGAAUUAUCACUGCCAUCUUGCUACAUGGAAAGGAAAGACAAGAAGACAAUGGGAAAUGUAUCAUGGCUCGCACCCUUUGGAAGUCUGUCAUACCUCAGAUGAUCAUUUAUGUAAGCCAUCAUAUUUCCUUGUUACUUAAUUCUGUUUGACUUGAGUAUGUGAUUACUUGCUGAUGACAGAAUUCUGAUAUGUUGUUGCACUUUAUCUUUUUUUUUUUUUUUUAGAUAAUGUAUCUGUAUAAGGACAUGGAGAUAAUGCAAGGUUAUUACCUUAGUAACAAAUAUAAAUAUUCCUUUUUAGGGAAAGAUCCAUUUUUGUUGAGACCAGCUUUUGGCUUCAUGUAGAAAAUGAAGUUACUCUAAAUACCAAGGGGUAAAAGGAAGGAGUAAGACGCAGUGUGUCAUGGGAAACAAGUAGGAAUGUAGUCUAGCAGUUUGGGGGCUGAAGAAGCAGCUUGGUCAGAGAUAUUCCAGUGAGAAUUUCCCCAGUGUACUGUGUGCAGUAAAUGAUGUGACACUUCUUUAUAAUUCCACAAACCUAUGACAAUAAAAGAAAGAAAAGAAAAGAACAGAAAGAAAAGAUAAAUACAAUAGGUUUGGUUAUAUUAAAAACCUGUGGAAGACAGGAGUGCUUGGCUGGUUCAGUCAGUAGAGCAUGUGAUUCUUGAUCUCGGGAUUAUGAGUUUGAGCCCCACAUUGGGUGUAGAGAUUACUUAAAUAAAUAAAACUUAAACAAACAAACAAACAAAAAACUUGUGGAAAACAGUCAGUGAAAUAAAGUCCUGUGAGGAUUCUCACUGAGAUUUGAAAUGAUUGAGACAGGGGUGCCUGGCUGGUUUAGUCAGUAGAGCAAGUGACUCUUACUCACUGGCAUGAGUUCAAGCUUCACAUUGGGCAUGGAGCCGCUUAAAAAAAAAAAAAAAAAGAUUGAGAGAGUUAGCCCUUAUUGACAGGAAACAGUAAUGACAUCUGUGCUAUUAGUAGAUAUUGGGAUGACAUACCCCAAGAUGUUAAUGAUGGUCAUCACUUUGUUGAAUUUCCCUUGUAUUUUUUUUUCUCUCUGCUAUCCAAGUUUGUGUUCUUUUCACUCUAGAGGAAGUAACUUGUCAUACGAGAAAAUAAUCUCAAUGUUGUAAUAAUAUCUGUUAAGAAAGCUGUUUCCCAAAAGAGGGCCACUAGUAAAUCUUAGAGAAAGUGGGGAAUUUCAGUGAUGUUUAUCAAAAUGCAGAUGAUGGAGUCAGACACCAAGUAGUGUUUUACAAAGUGAUAAGUCAAAUGUAUCGGAUCUGUGAAAAGAGUAGGAGCAAACCUCAGAGGCACCCAGAUGAUGAGGGAGAGUAGUAAAAGGAUUUGAUGAUUGGAUAACAGUAAAAAAGCACAUGACUGAAAUUGGGAAUAAGAUAGAGCUAAUGGCAUGUUGAAGUAAAAGCCAUUUACCUACCCCUCCACAGUGUGAAUCACCCUUCAGUGGAAAAGAUAGAUCAACUCUCAUAACUCUUCAUGGUAUCCUGUAAUCCCACUAGGAGAGAAAAAAUAUAUAUACUCAUUAUUUUCCUACCAGCAUAUGUAAAUCUACUCCUCUAAUAACUGUUUUUUAAUGAAUAAACAACUUUUAUUUUUUAAAUGGCAGGGAAUUACUUUUUUAAAGACAUUUUUAGAACAGUUUUAGAUUUAAAACAACAUUCAGAGGAAGGUACAGAGAUUUUCCAUAUACUUCCUACAACACACAUACACAGCCUACCCAACAUCAACAUAAUUUACUAGAAUGGUACAUUUUUUUAUCAAGGAUGAACCUAUCUAUGCAGGAGCAUUGUAAUCGCCCAAAGCUCAGAGUUCGCACCACAACUAUGGGUCUUGGUGUUGUAUAAUCUGUGGGUUUGGAAAAAUGUAUAAGGACAUGUAUCCUUGAUGUUUUUCAUAUUUUUCUCCCUUUUACACAAAUAAUAAAAAGAAUUUUGGGGGGCACCUGGGUGGCUCAGUUGGUUAAGCAUCUGACUCUUGAUCUCGGCUCAGGUCAAGAUCUCAUAGUUUGUGAGUUCGAGCCCCACAAUAUAUAAAAUAUAUAAAUAUACAUAAAAAUAUAUAAUGACCUACUAAGCAUAAACCCAAUGCUUUUUUGCAAGGCCACUGAAUUAAUUAAAUCUGCUUUGUUAGGGGUUUUACUAAAUAAGUUACAGAGUUUUAUUUUUCAUUUUCUCACCACGUUGUGUAUCCUAUUUACACCUAUAAUGUAAUAAGUAAUUAGUGGUCAGAAUACAUGAAAUUAUCCUAAUUGAGUGAGAAGUUGGAUGGGAAGAAAAAAGAUAAUUGAUUAAUAUCUUUCUUGAGUAUCUGAUAUUUAGUGUAAUGUUCUAGAUAUGAAUAAAACCAGUCGUAUAUAUUUGCAAGUUACAAGACUUAAAGCAUUUUAUUUUAAAUACUACCAUUACUAAAAGAAAAAAAAAAAACUACAGUCAAGGCACCAUUAAAUAUUUUGCUCAUCCAAUUACACACUUUGUAAUUGUUCUUUGUGAACUUGAUGCAUCACAGAAGAAAAAUAAAAAUAAAUCCUUCUUGAUAAUGUAUUUGUAUUUAGGAGGAAGUUUUAAUUUGCUGACCAUUUAGCACUGCUAUGAUUAUUUCACUAAGUCUUUCUUUGUUCUUGGAAAACUAGGAAAGUAAUAAAGUUUUAGUUUUUAAUUGGAAAACUGAGAUGUAGCUCAACUGUAGUUUUCUAAAUAUUAUCUGAGUUUCUGAUCAGUGUUGUUAGCUACUAAUCAAUCACAAAAUACUUAUUAAACACCCCUCAUAAAAGGUGUAGAUGUGAAAAAAAUGAAACCUACUUCAAAGUAUUUCGAUAGUUAACAAUUCUGAGAUGUCAGAGACUAGAAGACAGCUGGCAGAUACAGAUGAGUUUUAGGUAAGUACCUGAAAAGCAGAAACAGGUCUUAUUACCUUAAAAGUAACUGAUGAACUUUUACACAAAGAUAUAAGUCCAUAGGCUUUUCUUUACUUUUUGUCAUUUAGAUCCAACUUUAUGUUUCAAAUUUUCAAAGACCUUAUUAAUGCAUUCUUAUAGACAUUAUAAUUAUAGACAUAAAUAUGGUACUAUAAAGAAAUUAAAAUAUUGUACCAGAAGUUAAUGAUAUUACCGUGAUAGGCAGAAAAAUUACCCCAUACAUGUAACCCGGAACUUUUGAAUAUGUCAUUUUACAUGACAAAGGGGGUUAAGAUUAUAGAUGAAAUUAAGUUUGCUAAUCAAAUAAUGUUAAAAAGGGGAGAUUAUUUUAGAUUCUCUGGCUUGUAUUUAUUAUAAGACUACUUAAAAAAGCAGAAGAGGGAGGUAGGAAAAGGCCAGAAUGAUGUACGAUGACAAAGACUUCACCUGCUUUUGCUGGUUUUGAAGAUGGAGUAAGUGGACCACAAACCAAGGAAUGGGUGCAGCCUCAAGAGGCUCAAAAAGGUAAAGAAAUGGCUAUGACUCUUGAGCCUUCAGAAGGGGACACUGUUCCUUGAUUUUAGCCCAAUCAGACCUAUGCUACAGAACUGUAGGAUAAUACAUUUGCAUCAUUGUAAGCUGUUAAGUUUGUGGUAAUAUUACAAUGACAAAAGAAAAGCAAUAGACUUUAAUGCUGAAGGUGGGGAUCUGCAAUAAUAAACACUUAAAAAUGUGGAACUAUCUUUUUGGAAUUGGGCAGUGGAGAGAGGCAGAAAGAAUUUUGAGAUGCAUGAUAGAAAAAGGCUAGAUUGCUUUGAACAGAUUGCUAAAAUAAAUAUGGAUAUUAACAUUUCUGCAAUCAAGGAUUCAAAUGAAAGUGAAGAUCAUGGUAGAAAAACCUAAAAGAUCUCAGAAAAUACCUAUAUUAUUGUGAACAAUCUGCUAGUAGAAAGAUCGGUGUUCAUGGUGAUGCUACUAAUACUAAGGGCUCAGAAAGAAAUGAGAGGUAUGUUGUUGGAAAUCAGAGAAAGGCAAUCCUCGUAAUAUCAGCAGAAAGCUUGGCGGCUUGUUCUCUUAUAGUUACGUGGAAAGCCAAAUUUGUAAGAGAAGGUGGAUGACAUUGAGGUUGCUAAUCAACUGGCCUUGACACAGAAAGAUUAUCCUGGAUUAUUCAGGUGAACACAAGGUAAUCACAAGAGCCUCUGUUAGAGGAAAAGAGAAUCUGUUAGAGGUCAAAAUGAUUUGAUGUGAGAAGGAUGCAACUCACUAUUGCUGGCUUUGAACAUGGAAGAAGGAGGUCAUGAGCCAAAAAAUGUAGGUAAUGUCUAAAAGCAGUAAAACCCAAAGGAAUUUUCCCAGAUCUUCCAGAAAACAACAUAGCCUUGCUGACACCUUGAUUUUGGCUCAGACUAUUGCACUACGGACCCACAGAAUUAUAAUAUAAUAAAUGUGUGUUGUUUUAAGCCACUAAACUUGUGGCAUUUUGUUGCAGCAGUGAUAGAACAUAAAUACAAUUAUUAGUGUAGGUCUCAAGGUUUCUCUCCUCCUUUGUUUUUUUGUGCAACUAAUAUAUCUGAAAUAACUUCAAACUUAGAGAAAAUGUGUAAGAAUUGCACACAGAAAUCUGUUUACUCAAAUUCACAAAUUUUUACAUUUACACAAUUUCUUUUUGUUUCAUGAUUCAUCUCAUCUCUUGUCUCUCCCUCUGCAAACUGCCCCCCACACACACCUCAAAUUUGAGUAUACGUUGCAUACACCUUAUAUCAUUAUUGCUUUGCUUGGGGUAUGUAUUCCCAAAGAAAUAACAUAUUUUUCCUUAUAUAACCACAGUAAAAUUACAAAAUGUAAAAAAGAAAUGUUACAUUGAGCAGGGGAGAAACUUUGCCUCAUAAAUUGACCAAGAUCAGCCACAGAAAUGCCAGAAUUUUCGCUAUAGUUGAAAUUAAUUUGCGAGAGAAAGUAGGAGCCCUGAUUGGUGGUUUUUGAAGUGUGGUGCCUGAAACAACAGUAUCAACAUCACUUAGGUACUUACUAGUAAAGUGAAUUCUCAUCUUAUCUUACUACCAAACAUGUUACUCAGUCAGAAACUAUAUUACUUGGGCCCAGAAAUCUGUUUUAUUAACAAACCCUCAAAGUUAGUCUGACACAUUUUAAAAUUUGAGUAUCAUAGGUCUACAGGCUACAGGCUACUAAAUUCUUUGUGUAAGGAAAUGUGUGCAUUGGACACAAAAAAAGUUAUUGACCUGUCUGUACAUCCUGUCAACUUAAAAAACACAGCUGGGAGACCCAAAAGUUAACCUAUAUUUCCAUUGUGCUAAAUCAUAACUAAAUCUUCAAUUGCAGGCAAUAAGCCUACGUUGCUGCCUUGGCUGGGAAGAAUGCUUAAAAGUAACAGCACUUUUAGUGCUGAAUGGGGGACCUUGUUUCAUGCCAUAAUUCAUUAUGUGUGAAAUACAUUAGGUGUGGAAUACAUGGUACAGUAGGGUCUCAGUUUUUCCCAACCUCUGAGGUCCUUAGUAAAUAGUGUAUAUGCUCGUGUGAUGCUUUCAAAAACCCUUCCAACAGUUUAUGUCCCAAAGAGAAACAAAAAAGAAGACAUAUGCUAUGUCAAAAGCCCCAUGACUCUGGAUUAUAGGACUUGUAAAUUGCCUCAUGUUUUCACCGUGUAAGGUGCAGAGCGAAUUAACCAUCCCAGAGGUGACGAGAAAACUGAAGUGUGAGGUGACUAUAUCUCAAAAUACUAUUGUGCUUUUAAAUGUAUGUUUUGCUCAUUUAGUUCUCAUAUAGACAUCCUGAUGGCAACUCUGGUUUAUAACAAAAGAAAAAUAAGAAUACCAAAAAACAUUUGCAUUUGCUGUAAGAUCCAUAUAAUCUGAUGCUGCUAAAAGAACUGCUGUUCAUCCUCCCAAAGAAGAGCUAAUGCUGGGUGUGGAGGAGGACUGGAGGACGUGAAGGAGCUUCUGAAAUAAAAGUGGAAGAUGUGCAGGGAGUAGAGUCUUCGAAGUGGGGAAAAGCAGGCAAUAUAAAUAACAAGACAUCCUUAAUGAUGGAAAUACCUUUCAGCCUAUCACUGGAUAGUACUCUUCUAGAUGACUUGUAAACCCCUACAAUGAGAGGAGUUGGAUUCCUUAUUUGGGAUUGGAGUCAAAAAAGGAAAACCUCAGCUUCUGAGCAUGGUGGCUUGUAACGGGAUAAAGAGACAAGUUUCUUUUCAGCCAAGGAUCUAUAAUCAAAUAUCCUUUGUCAAAUAAGCAAAUGUUCCAAAUUAGCAUUAGCUAGCAUUGUUUAAGAUCUCUGAAAAUAGACUUCUGUGUGUUUAACAUUUAUAUCUAAGGCAAUGUUUAAAAUACAGUUACUUUGUAAUGAAGUAUAAUUUGUAAACAUUUUUUAAUUUUUAUUGAUUUUGUAUUUAUGUGCAUUACAAUGUAUGAUCCUGUAACAACACUUUAAUAAAUGUUCUAUGUAUGCACCUGUGUAAUAGCCACACCUAUAAAGAUAUAAAACAUUUUAACCAUGUCAGAGAGUUUCUUCACUCACUUAUGCCUGUCAGUGUCCUUUGUUCUGACUUCUAUCACCAUAGAUAUUAGUGACUUGUUCUUGAAAUUUAUAUAAAUUUGAAUAAUACAAGAUAGACUCAUUUUAUAUGAUUUCUUUGCUCAGCAUAUUGUCUCUGAGAUUCAGGCAGGUUAUUGUGCAUAUAAGUCCAUAUAAAUUUUUUGGGGGGGUAUAAGAUAGCAUUCUAUGCAUAUGCCAGAAAUUAUUCAUCCAUUCGUCUCACAUUUGUAUUGGUUUCAGUUUACAUUUUCCUUUUGGAAGCAAUUAGUUGCUUUCACUUUGGUGCUAUUAGGACAAGAGCUGCAGUGAACAAUAUUUUAUGUAUCUUUGCUAGCCAAAUGCAAGAAUUUCUCUUUGGACAGCGAAAUUACUGGUUCAUGAAAUAGAAAAAUGCUUAGUUUUAGUAAGUAUCAUCUAAGAGGUUUCCAAAGAUUUUUUUUUUAAGCUUAUUGAAUUUUGAGAGAGAGAGAGAGCAUGAACAGGGGAAGGGCAUAGAGAGAGGGAGACACAGAACUCAAAGCAGGCUCCAGGCUCUGUGUUGUCGUCACAGAGUCCAAAGCGGGGCUCAAAUCUAGGAACCAUGAGAUCAUGACCUGAGGCAAAGUUGGAAGCUUAACCAACUGAGUGACCCAGGCACCCCAUCCAGAGUUUUUUUUUUUUUCUUUUUAAGUCAAUUUGCACUUCCUCCCACAAAUUAGAAUAUUGAAAGUGGCUCUACAUCCUUCCUAAUACUUGAAACUGUCAACUUUUAAAAUUUUAUCCAUUCUGACAUUUGUAGUGCUAUUUUACUGUGGUUUUCAUUUUCAUUUCCCCCAAAUUCAUGGUACCAAGCAUGAGUUUUUAGGUGUAUUGGCUAUUUUGAGGUUCUCUUUAGUUAAGUGUAUUUUUAAAUCUUGUGCCCAAUAUAUAAAGUAGAUGCUUUCUUCCUUGUUUGUGGUGGUAAUUUAUAAUUUCUGGAUAUUAAUCUUUUUUCAUAUAUAAAUUUGAAAUAACUUCUUUCAGUCUGUGACUUGCUUAUUUGCUUCUGAGAACUAUAUUUUGAUGAAUUGAAGUUCAUAAUAUCAGUGAAGUCCUGCUUAUCAAUUUUUGUCUAGUACUCUUUAUGAUUUGCAUAACAUGUUUUGGACUAUACAAUAUCGUAAAGAUAUGUCCUAUGUUUACUUCUAUAAUCUUUAUAAUCUUUAACUUCUAUAUCUAUAAUUUAUAUUGUUUUAGCUUUCAUGUUUCUGUCAAUGAUCGAUUUAUUGAACGGAUACUUUCCCCAAAUGAAUUGCAAUGUCUCUUUUGCCAUAUAUUAAGUGAACACACUUGAGUGUCUCUUUAUUUGUUCCAUUGGUCGAUUUUGGUUCUUGUCGUGUGCUAAAAAUGCACUGUCUUACAAAAGAUUUAAAGGAAACCUUGAAAUAUCAUAAUAUAAUUUCUCCAAUAUUAUUCUUAUUUUUCAAAUUUGCAUUACCUAUUCUAGGUCUGUUGCUUUCUGUAUAAAUUCUAGGUUUUUGCAUUCUUUAAGUUUUUUAUUAAAAUACCAGUGAGGUUAUCAGACCUUAAAGAUUUUACUUUUAGUGAGGGAGGGUAAUUACAUGAUUAACAUUCUUAAUAUGUAGAGGACCCUCCAAUUUUCUAUGUUUUCUCAAAUUAGAGUAGUAAUCUUAUGUGUUAAUUUCCAUUUAAAUAGUGCUUAAAACAUUACUUGGAUUAUUUUCAAUCUAUAUAUUAAUUUGAGAAUAAUAGCAACAUAGUAAAUGGAUCUUAAUAAUAUGGAAUAAAUCAAUUAACAAGGUAAAGGUUUCCAAUUUUAGGCUUACAUUUUCUGAGAAAUAUAGUGCAAUUUAAAUUUUAGCAAUCUCUGACUCUUCUUGAGAUAUGUGUCUUUGUAUUUAAUAGUUUUGAAUUAUUAUGUUAUGUGCAAUUGUAUAUGUAUGGAAUUUUUAUAUUUAAUUUUAUAUUUUUUAUUUGUUUUAUCUUAUGAUAUAACUUUAUAUUUUUUGCUGGUUUUGAUGUCAUUGAGUUUGAGAAACUUAACAAAAAUUUACACUUAAAUUCUGAUUUUUUUUGUAGAAACAAAUAAUUUAUGGAUAAAGACAGGUCCCACCAUUCCUUUCCAAUGUUUAUGCCAUUUUUUCCUCGUGUUAUUUUAUUAGCAGUGGUUUUGGUACAACAUUUCCUUCUGCCAUCAAAAGACAUGCAUUAAAAUUUUGCUAUUGA